GAUGAAGAACGCAGCGAAAUGCGAUAAGUAAUGUGAAUUGCAGAAUUCAGUGAAUCAUCGAAUCUUUGAACGCACAUUGCGCCCCUUGGUAUUCCGAGGGGCAUGCCUGUUCGAGCGUCAUUACACCACUCAAGCUAUGCUUGGUAUUGGGUGUCGUCCUUAGUUGGGCGCGCCUUAAAGACCUCGGCGAGGCCUCCCCGGCUUUAGGCGUAGUAGAAUUUAUUCGAACGUCUGUCAAAGGAGAGGAACUCUGCCGACUGAAAACUUUAUUUUUACAGGUUGACCUCGGAUCAGGUAGGGAUACCCGCUGAACUUAAGCAUAUCAAUAAGCGGAGGA
rnacentral:misc_RNA from 1 species